UUUUUCUCAAUAUAAUGGAAAGCAACAACACACAAGUUAUAUGUUUGAGGAUGGGUAAACUAUUUUCAGAAAUGGACAUGUAUGUGAGCUUGUUAAAUCAACAUAUAGGUAAUUAGGCAUACAUGCUUAUAGGCCGUAUUCUUGGCAGAUGAAGAUUCCUUUUCAUCAGAAGAAAAAUGAAAAAAGCAUCAACUAUCCUACUUGUGUUCCUGAUUGUUUGGUCUCGUUGAGUGAAACAAAUCUCAAGGACAUUUCUACAUAGCACUGAAUCUUGAUAGAUACAGACAUGCACAGCAACAAACUUUAAUUUGGUUCUUGUCUUCCUCUUGCCAUCCUGCUGAUCAACUACCUUUUGGUUCUUCCAUGCUCUGUCAAUGUAUAAGAUAAUAAUUUCAGUACAGGCAUAUCUAGCAGAAUAAAUGGUUCGAGUUUCAAUCUAGAUUUGCAAACAGGGAAGGGGGAACGAGGCGGGGGCGACCACCGCACCCGGCACCAUUGGCGGCAAGGCUCCCAGGGGAAAGUGGUGCGGGUGCGUCGUGCUGUCAGGUGGUGGCGAGAAUGGCAUGACCAGCGGCUGGAUUUUGGGUGCGUUGGAGGAGAUAAGGAGUGAAACAGGGAAGCGGGGAAGGAGACGCCUGUUGCAUUAAGAUUCGGACGGACAAUUGGCGAGUGCUGGAGUGGGUCUCACGAUCGGGUCCGUACGACUCA
rnacentral:lncRNA from 1 species